GAUGAACGCUGGCGGCGUGCUUAACACAUGCAAGUCGAACGAAGCAUUUGCGACAGAUUUCUUCGGAUUGAAGUUGCUUAUGGCUGAGUGGCGGACGGGUGAGUAACGCGUGGGUAACCUGCCUCACACAGGGGGAUAGCAGUUGGAAACGGCUGAUAAUACCGCAUAAGCGCACAGUACCGCAUGGUACAGUGUGAAAAACUCCGGUUGUGUGAGAUGGACCCGCGUCUGAUUAACGAGUUGGUGAGGUAAGGGCUCACCAAGGCGACGAUCAGUAGCCGACCUGAGAGGGUGACCGGCCACAUUGGGACUGAUACACGGCCCAGACUCCUACGGGAGGCAGCAGUGGGGAAUAUUGCAAAAUGGAGGAAACUCUGAUGCAGCGACGCCGCGUGAGUGAAGAAGUAAUUCGUUAUGUAAAGCUCUAUCAGCAGGGAAGAUAGUGACGGUACCUGACUAAGAAGCUCCGGCUAAAUACGUGCCAGCAGCCGCCGCCG
rnacentral:rRNA from 1 species